GGAGACGUCGCAUAGUGGUCUAGUGCACCGCCUUGGAAAGGCGGCAAGGUGUCAAAGCCUUCGAGGGUUCAAAUCCCUCCGUCUCCG
rnacentral:tRNA from 1 species